rnacentral:rRNA from 1 species
GACGAACGCUGGCGGCGCGCUUAACACAUGCAAGUCGAACGGAUUGCUUGGUGCUUGCACUGGGUGGUUAGUGGCGAACGGGUGAGUAACACGUGAGUAACCUGCCCCCUUCUUUGGGAUAAGCACCUGAAAGGGUGUCUAAUACUGAUUAUUCUGCUGGAAUCGCAUGGUUUUGGUUGGAAAGGUUUUUCUGGUGGGGGAUGGGCUCGCGGCUUAUCAGUUUGUUGGUGGGGUAAUGGCUUACCAAGGCUUUGACGGGUAACCGGCCUGAGAGGGUGACCGGUCACAUUGGGACUGAGAUACGGCCCAGACUCCUACGGGAGGCAGCAGUGGGGAAUAUUGCACAAUGGACGAAAGUCUGAUGCAGCGACGCCGCGUGAGGGAUGAAGGCCUUCGGGUUGUAAACCUUUUUCGCUUUUGACCAAGGCAGCAUUUUGGUGUUGUUGAGGGUAUGAGGUAAAGAAGCUCCGGCUAACUACGUGCCAGCCGCCGCCGUAAAAC